rnacentral:rRNA from 1 species
GACGAACGCUGGCGGCGUGCUUAAUACAUGCAAGUCGAACGGAAAGGCGCUGCGCUUGUGGGGUGCUCGAGUGGCGAAGGGGUGAGAAUAACGCGAGUAACACGUCCCUGAAUUUCGGAUAUAAUCAGGAAAAUGGGGAUAAAAUAGGGUAGGAGAUAUUGCAGCAUGGGGGGGGUUGGAAAGAUACGGCGUUUGGGGAUGGAAUCGCGGCGUAUGAGCUAGUUGGUAAGGUAGCGGCGUACAAGGGCUACGAUGGGUAGCCGACCUGAGAGGGUGAUCGGCCACACUGGAACUGAGACACGGUCCAGACUCCUACGGGAGGCAGCAGUAGGGAAUCUUCCGCAAUGGGCGAAAGCUUGACGGAGCAACGCCGCGUGAGUGAUGAAGGUCUUCGGAUCGUAAAACUCUGUUAUUAGUGAAGAACAAAUGUGUAAGUAACUAUGCACGUCUUGACGGUACCUAAUCAGAAAGCCACGGCUAACUACGUG